AUGAACGCUGGCGGCGUGGAUAAGGCAUGCAAGUCAAAAGGGUUUAGACGCAAGUUUAAAUCCUUGGCGAACGAGGUAGUAACACGUAGGUACAUACCCUUUAGUUGGGCAUAACUAGCCGAAAGGUUGGAUAAUUCCCAAUGGUCUCGCAAGAGUAAAGAUUUAUCGCUAAAGGAAUGGCCUGCGACCUAUCAGCUAGUUGGUGAGGUAAUGGCUCACCAAGGCAAUGACGGGUAGGGGAGCUGAGAGGCUGACCCCCACCGAGGGAACUGCGACACGGUCCCUACACCUACGGGUGGCUGCAGCCGAGAAUAUUCGACAAUGGGCGAAAGCCUGAUCGAGCGACGCCGCGUGGUUGAUGAAGUCCUUCGGGACGUAAAAACCUUUUAUGAUUAAGAAAGUUUAUUGAUCUGAUCAUGAAUAAGGGGCUACCAACUCUGU
rnacentral:rRNA from 1 species